rnacentral:rRNA from 1 species
GAUGAACGCUGGUGGCGUGCCUAAUACAUGCAAGUCGAGCGAACAGACGAGGAGCUUGCUCCUCUGACGUUAGCGGCGGACGGGUGAGUAACACGUGGAUAACCUACCUAUAAGACUGGGAUAACUUCGGGAAACCGGAGCUAAUACCGGAUAAUAUAUUGAACCGCAUGGUUCAAUAGUGAAAGACGGUUUUGCUGUCACUUAUAGAUGGAUCCGCGCCGCAUUAGCUAGUUGGUAAGGUAACGGCUUACCAAGGCAACGAUGCGUAGCCGACCUGAGAGGGUGAUCGGCCACACUGGAACUGAGACACGGUCCAGACUCCUACGGGAGGCAGCAGUAGGGAAUCUUCCGCAAUGGGCGAAAGCCUGACGGAGCAACGCCGCGUGAGUGAUGAAGGUCUUCGGAUCGUAAAACUCUGUUAUUAGGGAAGAACAAAUGUGUAAGUAACUAUGCACGCCUUGACGGUACCUAAUCAGAAAGCCACGGCUAACUACGUG